rnacentral:rRNA from 1 species
GGAGGGUGCAAGCGUUAUCCGGAUUCACUGGGUUUAAAGGGUGCGUAGGUGGGUUUGUAAGUCAGUGGUGAAAGCUCCAAGCUUAACUUGGAAACUGCCGUUGAUACUAUAAAUCUUGAAUGUUGUGGAGGUGAGCGGAAUAUGUCAUGUAGCGGUGAAAUGCUUAGAUAUGACAUAGAACACCAAUUGCGAAGGCAGCUCACUACACAAAGAUUGACACUGAGGCACGAAAGCGUGAGGAUCAAACAGGAUUAGAUACCCUGGUAGUCCACGCCCUAAACUAUGGAUACUCGACAUACGCGAUACACUGUGUGUGUCUGAGCGAAAGCAUUAAGUAUCCCACCUGGGAAGUACGACCGCAAGGUUG